ACUCCUACGGGAGGCAGCAGUAGGGAAUCUUCCACAAUGGGCGCAAGCCUGAUGGAGCGACACCGCGUGAGUGAAGAAGGGUUUCGGCUCGUAAAGCUCUGUUGUUAAAGAAGAACACGUAUGAGAGUAACUGUUCAUACGUUGACGGUAUUUAACCAGAAAGUCACGGCUAACUACGUGCCAGCAGCCGCGGUAAUACGUAGGUGGCAAGCGUUAUCCGGAUUUAUUGGGCGUAAAGAGAGUGCAGGCGGUUUUCUAAGUCUGAUGUGAAAGCCUUCGGCUUAACCGGAGAAGUGCAUCGGAAACUGGAUAACUUGAGUGCAGAAGAGGGUAGUGGAACUCCAUGUGUAGCGGUGGAAUGCGUAGAUAUAUGGAAGAACACCAGUGGCGAAGGCGGCUACCUUGGUCUGCAACUGACGCUGAGACUCGAAAGCAUGGGUAGCGAACAGGAUUAGAUACCCUGGUAGGAUAGCG
rnacentral:rRNA from 1 species